GAAAUUCGGAGCUUCUCAGAUGGCCAGUAAGUUUCUCUCUCAAGAUUCUCAUAGGUGAAAGCCCCAUAGUUGGUUCCGUCAGUGCUUCCCAUACUGAUACUGUGAGACCUACAAAUUGGUUUUUCAAGCUUUAUCGAGAGAAACUGUAAGAAGGGAAAGCAGCUGAGAGACGUUUAGACAGAGAGAAGGAGAAAGGCCACAAUUUAGAAGGCCAUCAUGUUCAUGCUAUAUAUAGAGGCAGGUGAGAGAGAGAAAGAAAAAGAGUGAGAGGGGGAGAGUAAAGGAACAAACAAGGGCACUCAUUUCCUUCUUCUCAGCGACCAUGAUCUUUAAUUUCCCUUCCCAUCAUUAUUGAGAAAGAGAG
rnacentral:misc_RNA from 1 species